rnacentral:rRNA from 1 species
AUUGAACGCUGGCGGCAUGCCUUACACAUGCAAGUCGAACGGCAGCACGGGAGCAAUCCUGGUGGCGAGUGGCGAACGGGUGAGUAAUAUAUCGGAACGUGCCCAGUCGUGGGGGAUAACGUAGCGAAAGCUACGCUAAUACCGCAUACGAUCUAUGGAUGAAAGCGGGGGAUCGCAAGACCUCGCGCGAUUGGAGCGGCCGAUAUCAGAUUAGGUAGUUGGUGAGGUAAAGGCUCACCAAGCCGACGAUCUGUAGCUGGUCUGAGAGGACGACCAGCCACACUGGGACUGAGACACGGCCCAGACUCCUACGGGAGGCAGCAGUGGGGAAUUUUGGACAAUGGGCGCAAGCCUGAUCCAGCAAUGCCGCGUGCAGGAUGAAGGCCUUCGGGUUGGUU